GGGGAUGACAGGCUUCGACGGGAGAGGCUGGUUCCGGAAUGCGAGCCGAGCGGCGCCGACCUCGUAAACUCAGCGCAAAAACUCAAGUGCCAAAAACACUUCCUACGCUGCCAUGCCCCUCGCCGCCUAGGCGAUGACAUAACAGCCGGCCCCUUUAUGAGGCCGCGUCCGCCUGCCCCGUUCUCCACCCGGUGCAGGGCCGGGCGAGACAAUGGUGGAGUGCCGCGCACAACUCCGCUAAGUGCGCUUAAGAUUAGCGGAUGGCCGCAGGGUUACCAGCCCGCCGGGAUCCCUGUGGUGACUAACUUCGGCAGGCUACGCUCGUAGAGUUUCGAGGGUCGAUUCUUUCGGACGCGGGUUCAAUUCCCGCCAUCUCCACUC
rnacentral:tmRNA from 1 species